AGGGGCGCCGAGCAGCCGGGCCUGGGGCACCGCACCGAGCCUGCGCUAAGCGUGGGACCCUUCCUCAUUCCUGGAUCCUGAGCUUUAUCCUCUGGGUGCCCAGCGCAGGCGUCAUCGAUCCAAGUUAGCAGAGAGAAAUACACCAAAGAACUUCUUGUGGUGUUCUGGGUGCUUGUUGCUGCUUCGUUGGACUCAUGCCCAACAGCAGAGCCUUGAAGUUUCUUCUGGAUUGAGGCACUACUGAUUCGUGUUUGGUGUAUUGCAGACUGGCUUUCUGGCAAUACAAGGGCUCUGUCAAGGGCUCUGACUUGGUGAACAAGAAUGACAUCAGGAAGAAAGUACGGCGCCUAAUGGGAAAGUUCCACAUUGGGCUGGUGUACAGCCAACAAAUCAAUGAGGUGCUCGAUCGCUGACC